UAUAAAUCUCUUAAAAAUGCUUCUAAUAGUAUAUUAAAACAUACACCCUUUUCCUUUGAUAAUGCAUUGGUAUAAAAUUUUGUACCCACAUCAUCUUCUAAAUCAAUCAUCUUUUCUUCAUCAUUAUACCUUGCUCUCGAUAACAUAUCUACAACUGAAUUUUCUUUCCCUGUAAUAUGUUUAAAUUCAGGAUUCAUAGAUUUGAUAUAUACUAUCCACCUCAAUAUAGCAAUAUCAAGAGUUGAACAACUUAUAAUC
rnacentral:lncRNA from 1 species